AGUGAACGCUGGCGGCGUGCUUAACACAUGCAAGUCGAACGAGAACGGAUUAUAGCUUGCUAUAAUUGUCAGCUAAGUGGCGCACGGGUGAGUAAUGUAUAGGUAAUAUGCCUCUUACUAAGGGAUAACAAAUGGAAACGUUUGCUAAUACCUUAUACUCCUUAUUAACAGAAGUUAAUAAGGGAAAGAUUUAUUGGUAAGAGAUUAGCCUGUAUUGUAUCAGUUAGUUGGUGGGGUAAUGGCUUACCAAGACUAUGACACAUAACUGGUUUGAGAGGAUGAUCAGUCACACUGGAACUGAGACACGGUCCAGACUCCUACGGGAGGCAGCAGUGGGGAAUAUUGCACAAUGGACGAAAGUCUGAUGCAGCAACGCCGCGUGGAGGAUGACACAUUUCGGUGCGUAAACUCCUUUUAUAUAAGAAGAUAAUGACGGUAUUAUAUGAAUAAGCACCGGCUAACUCCGUGCCAGCCGCCACGGUAA
rnacentral:rRNA from 1 species